UACGAGGGGGGCAAGCGUUGUUCGGAUUUACUGGGCGUAAAGGGUGUGUAGGCGGCACGCUAAGUCAAUUGUUUAAUCUUGCAGCUUAACUGCAAACAUGCAAUUGAUACUGGCUGUGCUAGAGUUUGGAAGAGAGAAGUGGAAUUCUCGGAGUAGCGGUUAAAUGCGUAGAUAUCGAGAGGAACACCUGCGGCGAAGGCGGGUUGCUGGGCUGACACUGACGCUGAAGCGCGAAAGCUAGGGGAGCGAACGGG
rnacentral:rRNA from 1 species